UCCCUCUCAGGGUCGCACCUGGAGAGUUUCCAGUACUCUACCAGUCUCAGCGAUGGGAGGAACAGUCAAGCAGAGGCAUACUCAUUCCGUUCCCAGCUUGGCCAGUGGCUAGUGAGUGGAAGGAUCUGCUACGAGG